rnacentral:snoRNA from 1 species
UGACAGUGGUGAUGAUGAUGACAUUUGUCAUGAUCCUGAAACAAUUUAUGUGGGUUUUUCAGUCACUACCUCAUCUGAACAGUCA